rnacentral:RNase_P_RNA from 1 species
AAUGUUGAUGUAAUUGCUGUAUAGUCUAAACUAUACAGAGGAAAGUCCAUGCUCGCACAAGCUGAGAUGCUUGUAGUGUUCGUGCUUGACGAAAUCAUAAGUCAAGGUAGCUAUUUUAGCUAACGGCAGGGAAAUUCCCUAAGUCUCUCAAGAGAUAGGGGGAAAAUACCUUGAAAGUGCCACAGUGACGUAGCUAGGUUGGAAACAAUCUAGGUGGAACGCGGUAAACCCCACGAGCGAGCAACCCAAAUAUUGGUAGGGGCAUCUUCUAUUAGGGAAUACGGAACCGAAUGAAGGACAAGCAUUUUGCUUGUAGACAGAUGAUUACACCUUUUGUACGAGGCUGACCACCGCUUGGAGUACGGAGGACAGAACAUGGCUUACGGAC